rnacentral:rRNA from 1 species
AGCAGCCGCGGUAAAUUCCAGCUCCAAUAGCGUAUAUUAAAGUUGUUGCAGUUAAAAAGCUCGUAGUUGAAUUUCGGGGUCGGUAGGUUGGUCGUGCCUACGGUAUGUACUGGCCUCACCGAUUCCUCCUUCUUGUAGAACUGUGAUGGCAUUAAUUUGUUGUUGCAGGGAAACAGGACUGUUACUUUGAAAAAAUUAGAGUGUUUAAAGCAGGCUAACGCUUGAAUACAUUAGCAUGGAAUAAUGAAAUAGGACGUGGAUCCUAUUUUGUUGGUUUCUAGGAUUAACGUAAUGAUUAAUAGGGAUAGUUGGGGGCAUUAGUAUUCAAUUGUCAGAGGUGAAAUUCUUGGAUUUAUUGAAGACUGACUACUGCGAAAGCAUUUGCCAAGGAUGUUUUCAU